rfam:Oryza nivara chromosome 7, whole genome shotgun sequence.
UUUAAGCAUAGCCAUGAGUUUCCAUGUUUAAUUUUGAUCGUCCGUCUUAUUUGAAAUUUUUUAUGAUUAAUAUUUUAUUAUUAUUAGAUGAUAAAACAUAAAUAAUACUUUAUGUGUGACUUAUGUUUUUUUUUUAAUUUUUCAAAACAAAAUUCAAAUAAGAUGGACAUGGAAACUUAAAAUGAAACGAAGGGAGUAUAUAAU